rnacentral:rRNA from 1 species
ACGGGUGAGUAACACGUGGGCAACCUGCCUGAUAGAGGGGGAUAGCCUCCCGAAAGGGAGAUUAAUACCGCAUAAAGUCAAAUGAAGGCAUCUUCAAAUGACCAAAGGAGUAAUCCGCUAUCAGAUGGGCCCGCGGCGCAUUAGCUAGUUGGUGAGGUAACGGCUCACCAAGGCGACGAUGCGUAGCCGACCUGAGAGGGUGAUUGGCCACAUUGGGACUGAGACACGGCCCAGACUCCUACGGGAGGCAGCAGUGGGGAAUAUUGCACAAUGGGGGAAACCCUGAUGCAGCAACGCCGCGUGAGUGAUGAAGGCCUUCGGGUUGUAAAGCUCUGUCUUCAGGGACGAUAAUGACGGUACCUGAGGAGGAAGCCACGGCUAACUAUGUGCCAGCAGCCGCGGUAAUACGUAGGUGGCAAGCGUUGUCCGGAUUUACUGGGCGUAAAGGGAGCGUAGGCGGAUACUUAAGUGGGAUGUGAAAUACCUGGGCUUAACUUGGGUGCUGCAUUCCAAACUGGGUGUCUAGAGUGUUGGAGAGGAAAGUGGAAUUCCUAGUGUAGCGGUGAAAUGCGUAGA